UACGUAGGGUGCAAGCGUUAAUCGGAAUUACUGGGCGUAAAGCGUGCGCAGGCGGUUUUGUAAGUCUGACGUGAAAUCCCCGGGCUCAACCUGGGAAUUGCGUUGGAGACUGCAAGGCUGGAGUCUGGCAGAGGGGGGGUAGAAUUCCACGUGUAGCAGUGAAAUGCGUAGAGAUGUGGAGGAACACCGAUGGCGAAGGCAGCAGACUGGGCGUUUCCUGACGCUGAGGCGCGAAAGCGUGGGUAGCAAACAGG
rnacentral:rRNA from 1 species